CCAAUAGAAUUAUAACGUUUUUCCUGAGAAACUCUAUAUGAGUGCCACCUCAGCAGAAAUCACUAAAGUGACUUCUCUUUUAAUGUAUAGGGGGAUAAAAGACAUUUAUAACCUUUUGAUUAACUUUGAUAAAAAAAGACAUAUGGUUAACUAAUCUAAACCUAAAACAUCAACUAUAAACCCUAAAUCAUCAACUCUGAACCCUAAACCCCGAAACAUCAACUCUAAACCCUAAACCCCGAAACAUCAACUCUAAACCCUAAACCCUAAACCAUAAACCUUCAAAUCUAAACCCUAAAACAUCAACUCUAAACCCUAAACCCUAAAUCUAAUCUUAAAACAUCAACUUUAAACCCUAAAUCAUCAACUCUAAACCCUAAACCAGGAAACAUCAACUCCAAACCCUAAACCCCAAAACAUCAACUCUAAACCCUAAACCAUGAAACAUCAGCUCUAAACCUUAAACCCCAAAACAUCAACUCUAAACCCUAAACCCUAAACCUUCAAAUCUAAACCCUAAAACAUCAACUCUAAACCCUAAACGUAAACCCUAAACCAUAAACC
rnacentral:lncRNA from 1 species